AACGAACGCUGGCGGCAGGCCUAACACAUGCAAGUCGAACGCCCUAGCAAUAGGGAGUGGCAGACGGGUGAGUAACGCGUGGGAACGUGCCUUUCGGUUCGGAAUAACUCAGGGAAACUUGAGCUAAUACCGGAUACGCCCUUCGGGGGAAAGAUUUAUUGCCGAAAGAUCGGCCCGCGUCGGCUUAGCUAGUUGGUGAGGUAAAGGCUCACCAAGGCGACGAUCGGUAGCUGGUCUGAGAGGAUGAUCAGCCACACUGGGACUGAGACACGGCCCAGACUCCUACGGGAGGCAUCAGUGGGGAAUAUUGGAACAUGGGCGCAAGCCUGAACCAGCCAUGCCGCGUGAGUGAUGAAGGCCCUAGGGUUGUAAAGCUCUUUCGCCAGGGACGAUAAUGACGGUACCUGGAUAAGAAGCCCCGGCUAACUUCGUGCCAGCCGCCGCCGUAA
rnacentral:rRNA from 1 species